GUGCGACCAGCCAUGGUCGCGUGGAUUGCGUGACUCCUUCGGCGCGACCACGUUGGCCAGUGACCGCAGGGUCACUUCCGCGGCGGCAACGGAAGAGUUAUGCGACCUCUCCGCUAUUGUUGCAGGUUGAGCGACCCUUUUGCUGUGACCAUAGGAUCGUGCAACACGUCGCACCUGUCGUGGGUCUCGUGCCGAGGUUAUGUCGGUGCCGGUUGCCGAGCGGAACGAGACGUUUCACUCGUUUCGACCGUUUCGGCACAACACUUUAAACCAAGAUAUAUGUGUGUGAUCAUUAAUGAAUGACUUAAGAAUCAUGCUCUUGUUUCUUGAAACUCAGUACGAUUUGAUCUUUCUAGGUAAAAGUUAUUUUUGACAAGCUUCUUCUUUCUUCUUUUGGUUCUUUUAAGGUUUGUAGGUCAGAUUUUGGUGUUCAUUCUCUCCCCUUUGGAUGUUGUUGUAAGAAUGUUUCUCUCUUUUCUUUUUAGAGCUAACUACUUUUGUCCUACUUUUUAUUGGAGUAAUUCAACGACAUAAAUUGAUUGCAAUAGAUAACUCAUUAGUCAUUAUAUAGGUUUCUUAGUUUUGUUGCUUGAUAUGACAUUUUAUGGGCACUUUGAUAGCUCAUUCAUACGACUGCUUGCUACUACCAUGCUUAGUGGGAAGAAACUUGCCCAUGCAUUGGUGAGCGCAGAUAUUAUUUGUAAUGUGAUUUUCAUAUUCAACUAAUGGAAUUCAAUUUGAUUGAACAUCUUUUUAGCUCCCUACUAAGAAAAGUGCUAUUGCAAAACCGCAAGUGAAAACAAUAGAUGGGGUGGAACAAUCGAAGGAUUUUGUUGAGAUUGAUAUGACAUUUUAUGGGCACUUUGAUAGCUCAUUCAUACGACUGCUUGCUACUUCCAUGCUUAGUGGGAAGAAACUUGCCCAAGCAUUGGUGAGCGCAGAUAUUAUUUGUAAUGUGAUUUUCAUAUUCAACUAAUGGAAUUCAAUUUGAUUGAACAUCUUUUUAGCUCCCUACUAAGAAAAGUGCUAUUGCAAAACCGCAAGUGAAAACAAUAGAUGGGGUGGAACAAUCGAAGGAUUUUGUUGAGAUUGAAGAUGCUGAGAUAAUUAAAACUCCAAUUCUAUUUUUUUUUGGAAUUAAAGGCCACUUGUUUUAUUUUACAUGGAAUUAAAUUACAAAGAUGGAAAAAAAGCUAAUGUAGAAUAAUUAUUCAAUAAAUCUUUUGGGUAUAUUUCGUUGAUUGCGAAAUGAGUUUAGAGAAAAUUGAAGGAAGAUUGGGAUCACACGUAAAGGUGGAAAUUAUUGGAUGGAAGGUAAUGAAUCCUUCCACAAAACCUUCACUUACUCUAAUUGAAGCUACAACAUUGGGAGAAGUCGACAAAGGAAUUAGGGAGCUGAAAAAUGAUCCUCUUGUAGAAUUGCUUUCACCAAAAUGGAUUUUCACUUCUGCAUAUACAACCAAGUGAAAUCUUUUUGUUAGAGGAGGCUGGUGUAUUGGUGUGCAAGGUUGCCUUUUUGAAUGAGUAGAAUUGGCAGCUAGUGGCUUUCUCCAGACAGCUCUUGAUUUUGUUUGGACUGUCCAUAGAUUUCCUUCCUCUUCCAAUUUCCUAUCUUGAAUAAUUGUAGGAGCAUCUACUUUGAGAGCAAUAGAGGCAAUUGUUACUUAACCUGAAAUCAGACAUUGCAGUAAAUCUUCUAAACCAUAUCAAGAGUCUACCAAGGAGAAGCGUCGUUCACAAAUAGCUCAAGGCGUCUAAGUUGUGCAACCUUCUUCUAAAAGCUGUAUGGAAUGCUCCUGCAUUAGGUGGCUCAUCAUGCAUUAUAUGUAAGAGUAUCUUUAGGCUUUGAACUUAAUUAGUUUUUUUUUUGUAAUGCAGCUUUGUGUUUUACAAUUUUGUAGAUCCAUAUUGUUUACAAUUAAAUCGUGGGAUGCUUACGAGAAGAGGAUUAGAUUAGUGACCUAUAAGUAUCCAUCAUGGGUACCAUUAAGUUUUUAUGUUUAAAGUUUUAUUCAUGAUAGACAUAGCCUAUUUUGUUUUAUUUACGGCGAGAGAGAUGCACUUAUUAUGCCUAAGAAUUCUGGAAUUCUUCCAAUGGUCCUAGUAGCCAUUAUUCUUGUUGGCCAGCAAGGUAUUUAAUUUUUGCUCCCCCACAUAUUUGGUAUUUUCUUGUGCUUUAUAAGGUAAUUUCUAGUCUUGACUAUAGAUAUUUGUUGCCAGAGAUACAACAACAAAUUCCAAGGAUUCACAAGA